AUUGAACGCUGGCGGCAGGCCUAACACAUGCAAGUCGAACGAGUGGCGGACGGGUGAGUAAUGUCUGGGAAACGGCCUGAUGGAGGGGGAUAACUACUGGAAACGGUAGCUAAUACCGCAUACCAUCAGAUGUGCCCAGAUGGGUUUAGCGUGUUGGUGGGGUAACGGCGCCCAAAGGCGACGAUCCCUAGCUGGUCUGAGAGGAUGACCAGCCACACUGGAACUGCGACGCGGUCCAGACUCCUACGGUAGGCAGCAGUGGGGAAUAUUGCACAAUGGGCGCAAGCCUGAUGCAGCAGUGGCGCGUGUAUGACGAGGGCCUUCGGGUGGUAAGGUACUUUCAGCGGUGAGGCGUUACCCGCAGAAGAAGCACCGGCUAACUCCGUGCCAGCAGCCGCGGUAAUUC
rnacentral:rRNA from 1 species